ACAAGAAAGUCAGGGAAGCAUGAGCCCGCAUUAAAGGAGGAACUCCAUCUUUAAAGCGUGAAGAGAAUUUGAAUUUUUUUUAUCUAAUUUGAUAUGUUUGAAACUGCAAUUGGUGGUUUGUUGCUCAAAGUCGUUUACUUUUUAUACAAGUAACGAGUCAGGCUAAGUUGAGUCGACAUGUUAUUUCAUAUGAAUACUUAACAUCCAUAUUAUUACGAA